rnacentral:rRNA from 1 species
GGUAUGGGAUGAGCUUGCGUCCGAUUAGCUAGUUGGCGGGGCAACGGCCCACCAAGGCGACGAUCGGUAGCCGGCCUGAGAGGGUGAUCGGCCACAUUGGGACUGAGAUACGGCCCAGACUCCUACGGGAGGCAGCAGUAGGGAAUAUUGCACAAUGGGGGAAACUCUGAUGCAGCAACGCCACGUGUGGGAAGAAGCAUUUCGGUGUGUAAACCACUGUCAUGAGGGAAUAAGGCCCGCCUCCGGGCGGGAUUGAAUGUGCCUUGAGAGGAAGCACCGGCAAACUUCGUGCCAGCAGCCGCGGUAAUACGAGGGGUGCAAGCGUUGUUCGGAAUUACUGGGCGUAAAGGGAGCGUAGGCGGAGAUUCAAGCGGAUUGUACAAUCCCGGGGCCCAACCCCGGCUCUGCAGUCCGAACUGGAUCUCUUGGAUAGUUCAGGGGCAGGC